CCCAAGAGUGCGGGGAAUCGUGUCUGUGAACUCUGUUUUUAGCCAGGCGUGGUGGUGCACGGCUAUCAUUCUGGCACUGGGGAGGCUGAGGCAGGAAGAUUGCCAUGAGCUCGAGGCCAACCUGGGCUACAUAGGAUUGAACUUGGGACCUUUCGAGGCAGGCACGGUGCCACUGAGCUAAAUCCCUGGCGCCUCUGUGCUUUCUAACAAGAUGGGCGUCUUCAUGAGUCUCCUGGGCACAAUCAGAGUUGUAUGGUGUGAAUAAAACACAAGCAACCAGGUCUCCGCAGACAGUCAGAGAAGGGUCAGGUAGGGGUGGAACCAGGAGCGGACAUGCUGCACGGUGGGCCAGGUGUCGCCGCUCUGCCUGCCCCAGCCGGGAGUCUGUGGCCUGGGUCUCAGGCUGUCUGUCUGUCUGUUGGGUGGCACCGCCAGACAGGCAUUAAAGGGGAAGGUGUGGCCAGGACCCCAUGUACGCUGGGCAGCAGGCCGCAUCCUGGGAGGCUGCUCAGCCCAGCUUUCCCUUCUCCAGGGGCCACCGGGGUCACCCUCCUGGUCUUCCCCAUCGUCGUCGACCUGCUUGCAGCCUUCCUCAUCUACAAGCACGCCCCAUGCAGUAGGUUCCCAAGGACAGUGGCUGAGCCACUGGGGAAAUGAAGGCACGGAAGUUGAUGUCACCGGGGCCAUCUCUCUCCUUGUCUUGUGCAUCCCCAGGGCUGGCUCCUGACAACACAACCUAAAGGCAGAGCUGUGCCCACGUCAUGCAUCCUUCGUUACUCUGUGACAACCCAAGACUCCAGUGCUUUUCUCUGCCUCGCUCUCCCUUACCUGCAGCCCCUCCAAGGAGCCUGAAGAGGCAGCAGCAGGACACCGAGGCAGCCAUGACUGUGCAGCUACAGACACUCAUGAAAGAGGACUCCAGAGCUGCCUCAGGAAGUGGAGAGAACCUGCGGUGUUUGACGUGGACGGGGAGAAUUCUGAGGGGAUUAAAGGCGAUGCG
rnacentral:lncRNA from 1 species